rnacentral:rRNA from 1 species
GACGAACGCUGGCGGCGUGCUUAACACAUGCAAGUCGAACGGAAAGGCCCUGCUUUUGUGGGGUGCUCGAGUGGCGAACGGGUGAGUAACACGUGAGUAACCUGCCCUUGACUUUGGGAUAACUGCAGGAAACUGGGGCUAAUACCGGAUAGGAGCUCCUGCUGCAUGGUGGUGGUUGGAAAGUUUCGGCGGUUGGGGAUGGACUCGCGGCUUAUCAGCUUGUUGGUGGGGUAGUGGCUUACCAAGGCUUUGACGGGUAGCCGGCCUGAGAGGGUGACCGGCCACACUGGGACUGAGAUACGGCCCAGACUCCUACGGGAGGCAGCAGUGGGGAAUAUUGCACAAUGGGCGGAAGCCUGAUGCAGCAACGCCGCGUGCGGGAUGACGGCCUUCGGGUUGUAAACCGCUUUCGCCUGUGAAGAAGCGAGAGUGACGGUACCGGGUAAAGAAGCACCGGCUAACUACGUG